CGCAUAUAUGACCCCGAUUACUUUGUAACACACGUGACAUGGAUGUUGCGUUUGCAAAACGAAAGUAACUGUUAACAUGGACUGUAGAACAAAAAGACCGUUGAUGAUAAUUUUAUUCUGUAAUCAUGAAGCGGCAACUAAAGCAGCAGUGUAUUGAAUCAUUUUUCGAGAAUUCGCCGAAACGAUAGAAGGCUUAGCCCGGUCUGUUCACCGACAAAGUCAAAACACGGAUCGUCAUUUUUACCGACUGAAUGAAGAAAAAUAUUCAUGGCUAAAGUACGACGAAGAUGAAGGCAUGUUUUGUAAGCAGUCUGCUUACAAGACUUAGCAGACUUAUGGACAGAGAUCA